rnacentral:rRNA from 1 species
GACGAACGCUGGCGGCGUGCCUAAUACAUGCAAGUAGAACGCUGAAGAGAGGAGCUUGCUCUUCUUGGAUGAGUUGCGAACGGGUGAGUAACGCGUAGGUAACCUGCCUUGUAGCGGGGGAUAACUAUUGGAAACGAUAGCUAAUACCGCAUAACACUGGAUGACACAUGUCAUUUAUUUGAAAGGGGCAAUUGCUCCACUACAAGAUGGACCUGCGUUGUAUUAGCUAGUAGGUGAGGUAAUGGCUCACCUAGGCGACGAUACAUAGCCGACCUGAGAGGGUGGUCGGCCAAACUGGGACUGAGACACGGCCCAGACUCCUACGGGAGGCAGCAGUAGGGAAUCUUCGGCAAUGGGGGCAACCCUGACCGAGCAACGCCGCGUGAGUGAAGAAGGUUUUCGGAUCGUAAAGCUCUGUUGUAAGUGAAGAACGGGGGUGAGCGUGGAAAGUUCACACUGUGACGGUAGCUAACCAGAAAGCGACGGCUAACUACGUG